rnacentral:misc_RNA from 1 species
CCUGUGAUCUCGUUUUUUUUAACAUUUUUACAUUUUCUUUUCAGAGCCUUUACCAUGUAUGUUCCAAGUUGGAAAAAAAUCAAUGCAGUGCAAGGACUAUUUGUUCCCCAUGAUUCUGUUCUGUGGCGGACCAGCAAUUGCAAAAUGGAAUAGCUAUUCUAAGAUAUUCAGGCAAUUUAUAAUCCAAUACAAGUAAUCAUU